GGUUGCUUACUAGCUAAUCCGUUCAAGGCUCCAAAACCGCAUCAGCUCAGCCAACACAUUUGAUUGGAAGGUUGUGCCUUUAUAAGAAAGAGAAGUUGGAUCCAGGUGAACCGUCAGUUUGUGACGUCCCUCCAAGAAUCUUGAGAAUCUUCCUCUCCUCUUCGGUGAUCAUCAUGAAAUUCUGGGUCCUCCUUUUGGUUGUUUGGGUUGCUUUUGCCAUGGUGUCCGCACGACCAUAUGAAUGUGAACACGGGACUGAUCCUAUACCUGCAGAGCAUGAUCCUCUCCAAGACUCUGUGAAUCAAGACCGUCUUCUAGGCGGUCUCUUAGGACUUUUUGGACGCUAGUAGGAUCUGGAUGUCAACAACAACACAUUUGUAUGCUGAAUGAUGAUACCAAUAAAGUAGACAUUUUAGUUGCAACAA